rnacentral:rRNA from 1 species
GAUGAACGCUGGCGGCAUGCCUAAUACAUGCAAGUCGAGCGAACAGACGAGGAGCUUGCUCCUCUGACGUUAGCGGCGGACGGGUGAGUAACACGUGGAUAACCUACCUAUAAGACUGGGAUAACUUCGGGAAACCGGAGCUAAUACCGGAUAAUAUAUUGAACCGCAUGGUUCAAUAGUGAAAGACGGUUUUGCUGUCACUUAUAGAUGGCUCCGCGCCGCAUUAGCUAGUUGGUAAGGUAACGGCUUACCAAGGCAACGAUGCGUAGCCGACCUGAGAGGGUGAUAGCCCACACUGGAACUGAGACACGGUCCAGACUCCUACGGGAGGAAGCAGUAGGGAAUCUUCCGCAAUGGGCGAAAGCCUGACGGAGCAACGCCGCGUGAGUGGUGAAGGUCUUCGGAUCGGAAAACUCUGUUAUUAGGGAAGAACAAAUGUGUAAGUAACUAUGCACGUCUUGACGGUACCUGAUCAGAAAGCCACGGCUAACUACGUG